AUUGAACGCUGGCGGCAUGCCUUACACAUGCAAGUCGAACGGCAGCACGGGAGCAAUCCUGGUGGCGAGUGGCGAACGGGUGAGUAAUGUAUCGGAACGUGCCUAGUCGUGGGGGAUAACGUAGCGAAAGCUACGCUAAUACCGCAUACGAUCUACGGAUGAAAGCGGGGGAUCGAAAGACCUCGUGCGAUUGGAGCGGCCGAUAUCAGAUUAGGUAGUUGGUGGGGUAAAGGCCCACCAAGCCAACGAUCUGUAGCUGGUCUGAGAGGACGACCAGCCACACUGGGACUGAGACACGGCCCAGACUCCUACGGGAGGCAGCAGUGGGGAAUUUUGGACAAUGGGCGAAAGCCUGAUCCAGCAAUGCCGCGUGCAGGACGAAGGCCUUCGGGUUGUAAACUGCUUUUGUACGGAGCGAAAAGGUCUUCUCUAAUACAGGGGGCUCAUGACGGUACCGUAAGAAUAAGCACCGGCUAACUACGUGCCAGCCGCCGCCGUAA
rnacentral:rRNA from 1 species